UACGUAGGGGGCAAGCGUUGUCCGGAAUCAUUGGGCGUAAAGAGCGCGUAGGCGGUCCGGUAAGUCCGCUCUGAAAGUCCGGGGCUCAACCCCGGGAGGCGGGCGGAUACUGUCGGGCUAGAGUCCGGAAGAGGCGAGUGGAAUUCCCGGUGUAGUGGUGGAAUGCGUAGAUAUCGGGAGGAACACCAGUGGCGAGGGCGGUUGCCUGGAGCUUUGCUGACGCUGAUGCGCGAAAGCGUGGGGAGCGAUCCGG
rnacentral:rRNA from 1 species